rnacentral:rRNA from 1 species
CCUACGGGGUGCAGCAGUGAGGAAUAUUGGUCAAUGGACGAGAGUCUGAACCAGCCAAGUAGCGUGAAAGAUGACUGCCCUAUGGGUUGUAAACUUCUUUUAUAUGGGAAUAAAAUGUUCCACGUGUGGGAUUUUGUAUGUACCAUAUGAAUAAGGAUCGGCUAACUCCGUUCCAGCAGCCGCGGUAAUACAGAGGAUACGAGCGUUAUCCGGAUUUAUUGGGUUUAAAGGGAGCGUAGGUGGAUUGGUAAGUCAGUUGUGAAAGUUUGCGGCUCAACCGUAAAAUUGCAGUUGAAACUGGCAGUCUUGAGUACAGUAGAGGUGGGCGGAAUUCGUGGUGUAGCGGUGAAAUGCUUAGAUAUCACGAAGAACUCCGAUUGCGAAGGCAGUUCACUGGACUGCAACUGACACUGAGGCUCGAAAGUGUGGGUAUCAAACAGGAUUAGAUACCCCAGUAGUC